CUAAAAUGAAAGGCUAAAGCCCACAAACAGCCAAAGUCUACAAUUAGAAACCCUAAAGAUUUGGGUGGCUCCAACUGGCGGAGGAAGAACAAAACCAGAAGAAAUCACACGCCGCACCACCAUGCCGUCGAGUCAAACUGCAGCCAGGAGAAGAUCGUUCUCACUGAAGCACUAGGGAAGAAGAUUCAAUAGUACCGCAAAUUACACGUUAUAUUACAUAAAAAUUCAUAAAACUAAAAAAAAGUCAUAAAUUAAAAAACCGAUGAUCAAAUUUUUUAGUUUUUCUUAAUAAAAUACAUAAAUCAAAUGGAAAUUUUAUUUUAUUUUAAACAAAAACUAACUAAAUCAAAUCAAACUAAUUGAAAAUCCAAUAUCAAACUCCUUCGCUCCCAGCUGCAUCCUAGACCCAUGGUAAAAGAAAAUCAGCCUGCUGAUGUCUUUUCAAUUUGCUAAAAGCAUGGGCAUCUUGCGAUUCAUAUUGUGCAUUGCAACAAAAGCAAUGAAGAAGUACCAAAUGCUACCCUACCUGGCUAUGUUUCUGGAUCUUGAAGCAAUGUUUGGCCAAUUAACACCUUCUUAAUCAUCAAUGACGUUCAAAUUAGUAAAAUGGAGAAUAUAAAAUCCAGUUGAUUCCUAGACAGAAUUGGGAACGGUGGAUUGGUUCCACAGAGAGUUCGGUCUCGGACUCAAUCGAUUCGGCCGUUGUAGAGAAAUUCCUCUGAUCCAUUGCAUCCAAUUUCUCUUUAGGAGAUAUGAUCUUUAAGACAUAAAAGGAUUAUUGUUCACUUCUU
rnacentral:misc_RNA from 1 species